rnacentral:tRNA from 1 species
GCCCGGGUGGUGAAAUUGGUAGACACAAGGGACUUAAAAUCCCUCGGGGGAAACCCCGUGCCGGUUCGAGUCCGGCCCUGGGCACCA